AGUGGAGUUCAGUGGUAGAACACUUGCCUAGCAUGCAUGAAGUCCUGGGUUUGAUCCCCAGCACU
rnacentral:tRNA from 1 species